AGUUGCAGUGCUUGUAGGGCACCAAAUACCCAAAAUUGGUCUUGGUGUGAACUGCGGAGGAAGCUGCAGGCGGUGGUCGUGGUGCGAACAGAGGAGAGCGGAGGUGAGCGGAGGCGAACGAAGGUGCGAGUGGAGGCGAACGGAGGCGGACGGAGGUGAGCGGAGGUGAACGGAGGAGAACGGAGGUGCUAGCGGAGGAGAACGGAGGUUCGAACGGAGACGAACGGAGGUGGAAACACUUCGCAACAACCUGAAUUCACCCAAAUGAUGUUUAUGGUAAGUACUGGAAACACUACCUCCAAAUUAUGCUUAUGUGGUUUUGCUUGUUCAAAUAGCUAAGUAUGUAUCAUUCAUUGAAGGUAUCAGUGGGGAGAUUAAGUUAAAUCACGCUUUGGUUUUUGUGUUCACGCUAAAAUGAUGUUAAACGGGUUUACAUUUUUCACUCGACUGAACUGGUUAGUCAAAAUCCAAACUGAAAGAAGAACUACCUAGUAAAAAUUAAUAACAUUAAGUAGAAUUUAGCAUGGACUCAUUCAUGCACUUUCUAGAUAUAGUUUAGUUAAUCAUCAUAAAAGAGAAGUACUUUCUGUUAAUUUAUGUCUUAAUCUUGCGUAACAGAAAUAAAAUAGUAACAAUGUUUGUCUAUUACCUGCUAAAAUUCAAAGACACAGGGAUCCAAAUAAUUAAACAUGUCUACAUCCAUCACCGUCCUCCCAUUGUGAAUAAAGAACUCACUCUGAAAGCUUUCAGCACCACAACCCUUUGGUGAAGGCUUGUCUCUAUAUACUUUAUUUUGAAUUCAGUGAUUGAUAAUCAGUAACAAUAAUCAAGAUAUGCUGCAAUUGGAAAUUCUACUGUUAUAUAUGUUGAAUAUGGAAUACAGUGUUAAGUACUAACCCAUGUGAAGUUUUCUUGCAACUGCAAUUUAUGAAACAAAGAUGUGUUACUUUCUUUUGCACUCACUUACACGUCUAAAAUGUAAAAGGUGGACAAAAGCAAAACCUGUUUAUUAGUUGUUUACUAUGUUCAAAUUGUAAUACUAUAAUAACAAUUGUAAUACUAUAAUAACAAUAAGAAUGGGAAACAUGCUUAAAUUACGCUGAUGCAAUUGUGAUUUUGAGUUACCUUCACAAUUUGCUAAGGAAUUGAACCAAAAAAAGAAUUUUCAUGCAUAUUUAUUCAUUGAAGUUUUUCAUUCAGUUAAUGUAAAAUACUGAAGAAUGCGAAGGGAAAGGUGAUGUGUUGAGGCUGAGAUCCCCCACUACCACUAACAUGAUGGGUUUUAUAUCAUACAAAAUCUCACUUGUCUAUGUUUUAGAUUGUUAGAAAAAUUGGUAGGGUAUGGGAGAAGAAAUUAUUAAGUAAGUCAUAGAACACCACGUUAUAUAGUUCAAUUCCAAUCAAUCUUUAUAUAUGAAUCCCAUUUGUAUGGCAAUGAACAGAGUUGUUGGAUCACAGUCAUAUUAUUACUAUUAGACUUUGUUUUUCCCUAUUUGGUUUGUUGCAUUGUUUCAAUCAAAGUAGGAAAGCUAGAAAAGAAUAAGAGUAGUUUUAGAUAAAAGGCAACAGGGCUGUGAACUUUUGCCCCCAAUCACUUACGUGGAUGCAACGAAUAUACAUUAUGAUCAUCAUUUUUCUUAUAUUUGCAUAUAAACUAAGUUGAGCAACUUUGUUUCCCUAAAAAGAUAUAGUGUCAUUUGUUAAAUAAAAACAAUUGAAGGAAGCCAAUUAUCUUUUGUGGAGCAGUUGGUGCCAGAUACUGUCAAUAUGGCAUGUUUGAGUCUCACCCAUCUUUUGUUUUCUUUUUCCUUUAUAUUCUUUUGUUUUCGUUGAAGUGAUAUUUUUUGGUAGUGACAGUGGAACCUUUUUGCAUGUUAGAGAUGUAGCGGGCAUGCAGUGAACCUGUGAGCAUUAGGCAUGUGUCCUAAAGACGAGUGAGAUUGUUAAUUUUCUUGCUUUCACCAAUGCAUGUAGCAGCUUUGUCCAUUUCUAAUUUUUCUUUUUCUUAUUAGAUAGAGCCCACGUAGAAUGUCACUUUAAACUCAAUGUGGUUUAUGAAGUUGUCAUCUCCAACAUCACACAUCCAUGGUCAGAAAAAAAAUUAAUUCAUCAGUAAAUUAUUUUACUAGCAUGAUUAACCCAGUUAACAGUAAUUAGAUUUUAAGAUUGUUGUGUCCUAUUUUAUUCAAAAGAACCCUUCUAUACCACACUGAAAUAGAAAACAUUUAUUCAAAGAAUUAUGUUAACUAAUUAAAUUAAGAAAAAUUAUAUGUGUUCAUAUGUCAAGGAACAAGCAACAGGCAAAAGUUUCAAAAAUAGUUAUGAUCAGUAUUCUUUAACAAUCUCUCUGUCAUGUUAUGAUUAUGAUUUGUAUUUAAGCCAUGUGCAUGUUUAUCGAACCUAUUGGGUUUUGUUAUGUGCACAGGAUGCAAACAAUAAUUCUCUAACAUGUAAACUAAUACAGUAUAUAAGCUAUUUAUCAAUCAAAUUUAGUCAUUGAAACAAACAAUUACCAAAUUCUGAUUGAAUUAGUCUAUGAAUGACUAAACCUUUAUUAUUAGGCUGAAGCUAGUUUUACUUAUUUUAAUGAUCUUUUGAUUUAAUAUGACAUUCUUCAUCUCUCUUGUCUACAGGAAAAAUAAAUAUAGCAACAGCUCUAUAUAAAUAAUAGAACCUCCUCCCAAGAUCAGUUACAAAGUGAACCAAUAAAGGUAUGCUUCUCUUCCUGUCAACCCAAUACUUUCAUAUUUGCAUCCAUUUUUUACUUUCUCCAUUCAGUGUCCUGUUUUCUCUCUCUUAAAACAAGUGUAUACAUUAGGAAUUUGUUGUAGUCAGAUUGCAUUAAUGGAAAUCCCCGAAGGUAGAAAGUGGAUGUAUAAAAGAUUGGACAGAAACAAACAUCUGACAGAGGAAUUUAGAGAAGGAGUGUGUGAGUUCCUACAAUAUGUUAUUAGUCAAGAUUCAACAAAUCAUGCAACACAUUCAAAUGAAUAAUCCCAUAUCAAGUUCUUCAAAUCCAACUACCAGUGGACAUCAUAAAGGAGACAACAUUGGAGAUGAUAAUUCAGAAGAAGAUUAGUUGGAUGCUUAAUUAUAUAAUAGAUUUGACUCUUUUAACUAGUUUUUAAUACUUUUCAUUGUGUAAUACGAUUUACUUUUAAUUUGAGUACAACUCCUUCUUGAACUAUGUAUUUGAAGUUCAUUCGUAUUU
rnacentral:lncRNA from 1 species